CAGCCACAUCAUGUUGAAACACCAGUUCCCAUACAAUCACCAAACUUGAGCAAUGUCAAGCCUGGUCAGUACCUAGAUGGGUGACCAUGUUGGAAUACCAGGUGCUGUAAG